AGCUGCCAAAUGAAGGGCUGUG
rnacentral:miRNA from 1 species